ACAAAAGAACCAAUAAUUCAAUUAGAACUGACUAGUGUUAUAACAUUGUGAAGAGAUUAUUGUAAUUCUGAAAAUGUGUUUUUCUUUACACUUAAAGGCUGGAAAUCCCUACAGUUCUAAAAAUGUAACAUUUUAAACUGAUCCCUGGAUUGUUCUCAGAGGGAGUGAGUUUCCUGAGAACUAUGCGAUCACAACCAGAAAUUCUAAGGAAUUAUUGAGAAUACUGACAGACUUACUGUAAUACACGUCAUUUGGAGAUCUGGACUGAAAACCUGAGAAACUUUGUAAAUAGCAGCAUGGGAUGAUUUGAUAUGGCUAUAAUGGAGGUGAACAGCUCAUGGCUGGUUUGGUUCUGACAGAUGAAGUCACCUAUGUUAUACUUAUGUGACUUAGGAGCUGACAAUCCUUAUGGGUUCCUUCCAACUUGGGUUAUUCUAUGUUAGUAUAUAAAGGAAAUAUCAGAAGUGUGAGAAUUAGUGACAGCUAAAUGAGGAAGAAUUGUGCUGAAGUUCAGUUGUCUGGCAUUUUCAGAGUCCCAGAAUUUUUCAGAAUUGGAGUCCAGUUGGAGCUUGGAGAAAUAAAUGUGAAGGUGAGGAGAUAAUAAUUACUAAAACAGUAGACUACUAAAAUUGUUUUCUUCACUUUUGAGCAUCUUUUUUUUUUCAUCUGACAGGGAAUGGCCUGUAUUUGUUAGUUCUGUGGAAUUGCUUAUGGAGUUUGCUGGGUUCAUAUGUUAAUUUUAAUCACAGAUCAUUGGAAAGAAUACCUUGGAAAGAAUUUAAAAUAUGAAGGGCUUUGGACAGAUGGGAGUGAGCUGACUCUGGCCAGCUCCCACUCAAG
rnacentral:lncRNA from 1 species